GUCAUUUUCCCAUAACCUUCCCUGGCUGAGGAGGCGGCUGAGGCCUGGGAAGAUCCAGAGGGCACAGUCCCCGCUUUCCCUCGUUGGGUUUGCUGGUGUGGGGCUGGUCUGGGCUUCCGGUGCUGCUAAGGGAAACCAGGAAGCGACACCUGGGUUCCGGCAGAACCACAGCGGCCUGGUGGGAAGAGACCCCGCGCUGCUGCCAGCUUCACGUCGCCCAGGAAGGGGCCCGCGUGAGAAAGGAGAAACGGUGGUGGAGACCGGGAAGUGGGGCGGCGGAAGGGGAACCGGGAGUGUGGGGGCGGCGGGCAGCGUGGGGGCCGCUCGGGGCGCGUGUCAGCCUGCGACGCCGGCUCCUGCCCGGGCUGCCUGUGCUGCUCCGGGCCGCCGCGCCCUCUCACGGCUCCCUGAGCGCUUCCCGAAGGAGUGAUGCAAAACCACCGCCUCCCUACCCAUCACGGUUCGCUUCCCGCCUGAAGAGGAACAGCGUUCCUGCCAUGAGCGCCGUGCAGCCUGUUUGCUGCCUCAGUCUCCCCUUUCCUUCCUCCUCCUCCUCCUCCACUAUUAUUACCUACACAGUGUUCUGCCUGCAUGUCCCCUGCAGGCCAAAGGGGGCAGCAGAUAGCAAUGUAGGAUGUGCUUGCUGGGGCUUGAACUCAGGACCUCUAGAAGAGCAGCCAGUUCUUUAACCUCUGAGCCCUCUCUCUAGCCCCGUAGCCCGCCCUUUUCAAACGCCCUUUGCUACCACCCUGUUCCCAAAUCAGAAGCCCUUUGUGGAGCUUCCUGACCCUCAGUUUUCUGUUUAUUUUUUCUUAUAUAAUAAUAAUCAUGUCAUUAUUUAUUUAUUGUUAUUUUAUUGUUAUUAUUAUUAUUUAAACUCCCAGGUCAUACAUUUUAUUUUAUCUUAUCUUCCUCGUGAUCUGGUUGAUCAACUUUUCCAAGGAUCUGAAUGAUCUGGGGUCUGAAUGAUUGAAAACAAAACAACAAACUGUAAAGUGCAGCUCUGGGGUCGGAGAGACGGCUCAGUGCUUCAGAGCACUGGCUGUUCUUCUAGAGGACCUGGGUUUGGUUCCCACGUCUGUAUCCUGUGGCUGAUAACUCCCGGGGAUCAGACAGUCUCUGCUGGCCCCUGCAGGCCCACCAGACCUGUAAACAUAAAUCUUAGAGCAAACAAGCCCAGUUCUGUUGGGAGGGGAGGAAGAGGGAACCGGGCCCUCUUGUUUGGCCCCAACAAGGAUUUCUGUCUAGUUGGCUUUUGAGCUUGUCUGUGCUGUGGCAUGUGAGGGACGUUCCCCACUGAGCUCGUCCUGCUCCAUGGAAUAUACCAGGAGGAUGUGGUGCCCAGGGACCAGGCGCCCCUCACCCUCUUGCUGUCCACACCUCUCCAGCCCCUCCUCACAUCUCUGGACUAUUUCCUUUCUCUUCUUUUGACAGGGUCUCCUGUAGCCCAGGCUGUCCUCAAAUUCCCUACAUAGUGGAGUGUGACCUUGAACUCAUGGCCCUCCUGACUCUGAUUUUACCUCUCAAGCAUUAGUGUUACACUGGCCAGGAGGCCGGCCCCGCUGCUGCCCAGGGAACCUUUCUGCCCAGGGAAUGGAAGGGUUUCCUGUCAGUGCUGAUUUUGAAGAAAGACUACAGAGCGGGGAGCCCAAGAUGUCCAAGAAAAGGAACUGAAGGCAGGUCAAGGUCUGAGGAGAGCACAGUCUGUCGUGGCAAAGAGGGCAGGCAGCAGGAGCGCGAGCUGCUGGUCACAUCCUAGCCAGUCAGGAAGCAUGAUGGAUGCUGAGGCUUGGCUCGCUUCCUGGUUUAUUCAGCUGGUUGCCCUGGCCCAGGGGACGGGGCUGACCACCUUCAGCGAGGCUCUACCCGUCUCUGUUUCAUAUCCUUGGACCCUCCCUCACAGACUCUCCCAGAGAGAGGUGUGUGUCCUCUGGGAUUCGGCAUCCAGUCACCUGAGCAUCGCACCCUGCUUGCUCCGUGGCCUCUGCAUACAAGGGAUCCAAGCUCAGCUGCGCGCCACUGCCAGCAGCCACCGAGGAGAACCUGCUUCCGACAUAUCAGCGGAGAAUCCAGGCGGGUUUACCUUUGACAACGUGGAUGUCUUCUGCAAAGUCUGUCCUAGGAGGCAGGCUGCUUAAGGGAAAUGCCCCAUUCUCCAGGGCUGGGAUCCGGGUGGGAUGGAGUGUCCCCCAACUGGAGUAUGACCACCGCCCCUCCCGCAGUCAGUGAGCAAGGCAGCCCCUUGUCAUGCGUGAGGCUAGCCUCGGUUGGGGAGUAUGUGUGGAGUGAGGGGUUGGAAGAGAUGGGUGAGCCAGUCCCUAAGGUACUGGGUGGGUAUCGUUACUGUCCCAGGAGCCCCUGGUUGGGAAGCUUUUGGGGUUAUCACUUUCCCAGGAGGAUUUGUCACACCCUAAGAACAGAGUUGCACAGUCUUUAUUGGACAUGCAAGGUCAUGGCUUGAUUGUGAAAUCUGUUUUAAAUUUAGAAAUAAUCACAUAAAUAGGUGAAAGUUGAAGGUCCUACAAAGGAGUUAUUUAUUUAUUUUUUUGUGAAUGGAGAAUAAAUUUACUGGUGUCUCCUACGAGGAAGGAAUUAAAAUAUAUGACAACAAUCAUAAGUUGGAAACAUUUAUAAGCAUUUAUGCCUUUGUCAGCAGGACUGACAGGGUGAAUAAAAUAAGCAGCAAACAAACCCCGGAACAGCUUGGCCCUCAGUAAAUGUCUUCAAGUUUCAACCCCCAGGGACCCAAAGGGCUGGCAUAUCUGCAUAGCUUGCCCAUCCUCCACUCUGUGGAAACUUCCCAAGCACUUGCUGAGGGUAGGGGGCUGUGGCCCCAGAGUGCUGGAGGGAGCAAGCUCUUGGCAGCUGAGGCCGUGGUUCAGGGACUUGGGGCAGGGGGCUGGGGAUUAAGACAGGACAGGUGUUCUUACAGAAGCAGAGAGGAGUGGGAAGAGAGGCACAUGGAGGGGACAGGAGCCCUACAAGGAGACUAAAAGAUCUGAGCAGGGGGUCCUGCAGAGAGCGAUGCACCAACAGAGGACCAUGCAUGGAGAGGACCUAAAUCCUUUGCUAGGAUGUAGCCGACUGGCAGCUCAGUCUCCAUGUGGAUCUCUGAGGGAGGGGAGCAGGGGCUGCCUCUAUUGUGAACUCAGUUUACUGCUCUCUGAUCACUCGCCCCUGAUGGUGCAGCCCUGCCAGGCUACGGAGGAAGAGGAUUCAGGCAGUCCUGAUGAGACUUAAGCUAUGGGCAGAUGGCUAUAAUGGACUCUCCCUUUCAGUGGACUAGGGGAAGGGGAUGAGGGAAGAGGGAGGGAGGGUGGGACUUGGGAGAGUUGAGGGAGGUGAAGUCAAUUGGGACGUUUAAUGAAUAAAUUGUGAAGGAAAAAAAGACAGGACAGGUGGCAGUGGGAGAUCACAGGGUGCAGCACAGUGGAUAGCAGGUCAUGGGUAGGGGUGGGGGAUGCCCAGGCAGUGGGAGAUCACAGGGCGCAGCACAGUGGAUAGCAGGUCAUGGGUAGGGGUGGGGAAUGCCCAGGACGUGUGUGGGAGGAGGAGCAGGCUCAGUGAGAGGGACUGUGAUGUGUGGUGCGGGUGGGUUUGAGAGGACCAGGCCUGCCCCCUCCCCCCAAAAGUCAUCAGUUCCAGGAACAAGGUCAUAAAAUUCCCUGUCCAAGGAACAGCCUGAGGACAAUCACAGUAAAAAUCCUGCCGUGCAGCUGCUGGGGGCUCUCCUCCCUGAUCCGCUGCGUUGGUGACGGUGGAGAUACCGAGCUUAAGCUCUAAUAAAGCUCUUUGCUCUUGCAUUUGUGGUCCGGUUACUGGCGGUCUU